rnacentral:rRNA from 1 species
UACGUAGGGGGCAAGCGUUGUUCGGAUUCAUUGGGCGUAAAGGGUGUGUAGGUGGCGCCGUAAGUCGGGUGUGAAAUUUCGGAGCUUAACUCCGAAACUGCAUUCGAUACUGCGGUGCUUGAGGACUGGAGAGGAGACUGGAAUUCAUGGUGUAGCAGUGAAAUGCGUAGAGAUCAUGAGGAAGACCAGUGGCGAAGGCGGGUCUCUGGACAGUUCCUGACACUGAGGCACGAAGGUCAGGGGAGCAAACGGG